GUGCGUCGCGUCCCCGAGCGUGUCGCGGCGGGCCCGGCACCGGCCCCGCUCCAGCGCCCGCCCCCGGCCCGCGCCCCGGGCCCCGCGCGCAUACCUGGCGAGGCCACGAGGGGAUUCUGCGGGCCGAGCCCCGCCUGGGCUGCGCCGCCGCAGGCGGGAGAGGCUGAGGAUUCUUUUGGGAAGCCCCUCCGCCGGCUGUAACCCCAGGGCCGUGCCACCCUCCUGAUCACCGCAAGCAUGGACCCCCCAGCACGCUGCGGCUGUUGUCCACACCAAGGGUGGCCUACAGAGGGAAGUGAGGACCUUGGGACUUCCUCCAGGACAGCCCUCGCUGUCCAAAUCUCCACCUGCUGCAGAGCUGCCUCCAGUCAAGCCCUUGUUUCCAGCUUUCUGUGCCCUAAAUAAACUUCUGCUGGGAUUGAGCCAUCAGCAUUCUGUGGUGGGCGUCGCUGCUGCGAGGUUGCCCUCGUGCACACAAGCUCCUCACAGGACUUCCAGGAUGAUAUGGAAGAGUGACUGAGAGCAGCCGCCCGGUGCUUCCCAACCUUAGAGGGAGGUCACGGGCAGUCUCCCUGCGAUGCUGGCCACAGGGUCUCGCUGUGUCGCCCAGGCUGGAGGGCAGUGGUGUGAUCUGGACUCACUGCAGCCUCGACCUGUUGGGCUCAAGUGAUCCUCUCACGUCAGCCUCCAAGUAGCCAAGACCACAGGCAGGCGUCACCAUGCCCAGCCCCCAUGAUGACUUUACUUUUCUUCUUGAACCUGAGUCCUGGAAGUUAAAUGCUCUAUUUCCCAGCCUCCCUUGCAGCUAGGAGCAGUCAUGUGACUCCAUUCUGGCCAACGAGAUACAAGAAACACUUGCUGACAGAUGGAGUCUCGCUCUGUCACCCAGGCCGGAGUGCAGUGGUGUGAUCUUGGCUCACUGCAAGCUCUGCCUCCAGAGUUCACACCAUUCUCCUGCCUCAGCCUCCUGAG
rnacentral:lncRNA from 1 species